GAGUGACUGGAAAGCUCCUUUUCUGCAAGUAGGUGAAGGGGUGGCUGGCUCCAGCCCGGGGGCGGGCAGUCAGGGUGCAGCUGGCUGGGGACGGCGCUUCACCUCGGUUUAAACUGUAACCCUCUAUUCCGAGCACGCAGCUCCUGGCAGCGCCGCUCAUACCAAAGCCUUGACUCAGGGUUAUCUGCAUGCUGGGUAAGAAGCAGCGUCACCAGAGGAAUGUGCAGAGAAAGCAGCCAUGCUGCUGCAAGCCUCCGCUCGCUCCCCAGGCAAAUCACGGAUUUAACAGCGUGUUCCUGCCUCUGGGCCUCUGACGGCUAGCGAGGGGUAGGGAGCUGGUCCCGGGAGCAGGGCUGCCCCAAGUCUGUCUGGAAGCCAAAAUAGCAUUUUGUCCUUCCAUAAAAAUGAAAUUGCUGAGUGUGGUAAGGAAUGGUUGCUGUCAGGGAAGAUCAAGAAAUGGAAAUGUACCCCUUUUGGGACAUAUGUCAAGGAGAUCUGGAGACCCUUAGCCUGAAAUAGAGGAUGAAGGAAGAACAAGUGCCAGAGGCAAAGGCAAUAAAGGAAAACUAGACAAGCUCUAUCCUUCAGCAGGCAGGGGUGAAAAAGAGGGAGACAUGCAGAAUUUUCUGGUUUAAAAGGGAGAUAUUCUGAAGCUGUUAGAAUGGACCUGCAAACAAGAACCAAAUGGUUACAGUUAUGAGCAGAAAAACUUUGCAAAGCAGCAGAGGCACUGGAAAUAAAAUUGGUAUUUGACCAGUAGGUUGUGAGGUGAAGAGUCCCUGCUACUGAUUCAUCCAUGAGUAAGAAACAGUGAGAAGUUCCUGAAAUAAGAGGCAGCAGAUCAUCAACAGCAAAGUUGCCACAAGAUGAUGGCUCUUAAAUGUGGAUCUUGUCAAAUAU